rnacentral:lncRNA from 1 species
UUGUUGUUUGUCGUUGUCCAUGUCUUUGUUGCUGUUUUUGUUUUGUCGUGAAUGAGGUGGCGCCGUUUCAUGUUCAUGAUUAUACCAUUGACUGCGGUGGCAUACAUUUUUUCUUCGGUUGGGGGAGCAUGUGUGAGUGAUGCCGUUUUUCUUGAAAAAUCUAUUCCAAUCAAGUCAGUCACAACUCACAACACAUGUAUAUUUAUGAGAUAUUUUAUAACUAAUUUACAAAUGAAUAUUGAUAUGCGGAUAACA